AGACCUGGCACAGCCGCUCACCUAGGUGCCAGUGCCGGCCGGCCAGCUCGUGCACCAGGCUCAGCGGCAUCACCAGCGCGGCCACCAGCACGUCUGAGAUGGCCAGGGACGCCACCAGGUUGUGCGGCACGCGGUGGAACGUGCGCACCCGGGCAAUGGUCGCCAGCACCAGCAGGUUCCAGGCGAACGUGGCUGCCACUAGGCAGCCCAGGAAGACAGCUGCAGGCGGGACCUGCCUCCUGCCAGUCCCCCGCCCCCGCCCCUUUCGGCAGCUCCGGAGAGCCCACCGGGACCCGACUUAUCAAACUGGGGGGUCCAGCCUACGUAAGGCAUCAGCUGAUAAGGUCGCCCCUCCCCGCCUCUAGCCCGGAGCGCGCCACACUGGCGCUGUCCGUGGUGCUGACGCCCCCCCCCAGAACCCUGGCGUGUGGUGCUGUCCGCGGUGCUGCCGCUUUUCCCCCUGCAAUGAGUUUUCCGAGGGGAACAAGUUUACCAACGAACUUUCCUUGAAAUGUUCCUCUAGCACCCCCUACCCACCUCCUUCUAGGGGUGGUCUGCGUGCCCCGAGAGCGUUCUCAGCUUCCUAUGUGUGCUAGCCUGUCGUGCCAAUGUUUGAGUUUGGGGGUCUCUGGCCUUUCUCCUCCAGAAGAUUCCAGUUCCUUCUUGCCUCCCUCUUAACACUCCCCCCGACCCCGGCCCCACAACCCAGUGCUGCCCAUGAAGGACCGUUUUCCUUUAAGGAUAAAACACAAGACAUGUCACCAGUUGCUGCGGUUCCUAGAGAGGCUGACGUAUGUUUAGUGCACUUUCUAGAAUCACGGAGAAGCUGCAGGCUCCUCACAGGGCUCCGCUGGGUGUGCUUCCAGGCCAGGGAGCAGUGGAGAAGGGCCGUCCAUCCUAAAAACACCACCUCGCUUACAGAGGGACACAUCGAGCCCUUUCUCUCCACACACACUCACACAACUCACAACCACACAUACUCACUCACAACCACACACUCUAGUCACUGAGAAACCGCCCUGAGCUCCCUCCUGGAAGGUAUGAUUUACAGCGCCUCACCAAGAGAUGCGUGAGGCAGCAAGAUAAAUGAAUUGGAAUAAAAAAUGAGAUGACACAAAGGAAAUAAAAGAGCAUUAAGCAUUUUAAAAUUUUAUCUUCUCCUCGCCUGAGGGCAUAGUCAUUGAUCUCAGAGAGGGAGAGAGAGAUGUGUGAUACAAACAUCGAUUAGCUGCCCCCUACACUUGCUCCAGCUGGGGACCGAACCCUCAGCCUAAGCAUGGACCCCGAUCGGGGAUCGAACCCACAACCUUGUGGUGUAUGGGACGAUGCUCCAAGCACGGGCCCACCUGGCCAGGGUGCAUGAACCAUCUUUAAAUGCGUACAGUGGGUGUUAUGAGAUCCUGCCUGUUUACAGGGUGGGCUGCAGAUUUGUCCAGAAACCUUUAGGCUGUUUGAAAAGAGAAACACAUGUUAGUUUCUACGGCUGUGAAGAGAAGCCAGUGGGGCCAGCGGAGAGGGGCCAGCAUCGGGAAAUGCUGAUGCGAAUCCUUCAUUCAGUGCAAGGCGAUUUGCAGCCACGCUUCACCCAACACCCCUCAAAAACUGCAGGUUGUGGCUGCCCAUAUGUGGUGCUGGUGUGUCUCCGGCCAGGGGGGAGGCUUCUGCUUGUUUCCAAUACCUCCCCUUCUUGGGGGUCACAGAACCCCCAGAUGUCCACUAUGAAACCUCUUCUUUGAGAGAAAAUUGCUCGCAGCAGCUCUGCAGGGGCCCACGUUUCAGGGUCCCGGAGCCGGAGGAGUAAUGCGCUGCAUUUUGGGUGGGCAGGCAGGCCUAGACCACGGUAUCUCCCCAGAGAUCUUCCGAGGCAUCCUGGGCUUGCAAUCUUAUUCCCCUCCAGCAGGGGGCGGUGCAGCAGCCUCACUGAUCGUUAAGUGAGCCGCUAUCUAAUCAGGGACCAAGCCGGGCAUUCCUGAGGAUGCUCUGUGAACACUGGAGUGUC